AUUACUUUGGCAGAUAAGUGCAAUGGAUUUAGAAUUCAUUAAUGUGGUUUAGUUCUACAGGUAAUG
rnacentral:tRNA from 1 species